rnacentral:lncRNA from 1 species
UUGGGAAACACGUUUUGCAACUUAUAUUAAUCCCUUUCCACUUUGCGGGUGCGAGUGCUGCCUUUUAGCGGCAUUAGCCUACUCUUUUUCGAAAUCUACAAGGGUGUCUUUAACGUGCAAGAGAUAUGGCUCUCUCUUUACACGGGUCAGCCAUUUAUCGUCCCCUUCCGACGGACUAUCAUCGUUUCCUCAAGACCAUACUCGCAGAUGGUGUCAAGGGAGAGCCGAAAAUUUAGUUCCUGAAAUUUUCAUCCCAAACGGGAAUCGAACCAGGAACCUUUGUGUUAGUAGUCCGAUGCACUAACCACUACACCACGACUCUC